rnacentral:rRNA from 1 species
CAGUAGCCGCGGUAAUACAGAGGGUGCGAGCGUUAAUCGGAUUUACUGGGCGUAAAGCGUGCGUAGGCGGCUUUUUAAGUCGGAUGUGAAAUCCCUGAGCUUAACUUAGGAAUUGCAUUCGAUACUGGGAAGCUAGAGUAUGGGGGAGGAUGGUAGAAUUCCAGGUGUAGCGGUGAAAUGCGUAGAGAUCUGGAGGAAUACCGAUGGCGAAGGCAGCCAUCUGGCCUAAUACUGACGCUGAGGUACGAAAGCAUGGGGAGCAAACAGGAUUAGAUACCCCUGUAGUCCCUGUCUCUUAUAA